rnacentral:rRNA from 1 species
UUCCGUAGGUACCUGUCCAAGG